AUAUACAAUAAAAUACAUCAUGACAUCAAGGCUCUUGUUUUCUAAUUUAUCUCCAUUGAUUCUUGCAGUGACGUAUAUGCUUAGCCUGAUCAAUGCACGUCUUGGUUGUGUAAUUGUUAUGGAGGCAUAUAAGUAGGUUAUAGCUAGGAGACAAAUGGCAGCGUGUACCUUGCAUCCUCGUUUGAUUUCUCAACGCUUGAAAUUUCUGGUCAAGAGAAACAAACCAUGUAAAAUGAAGAUUUACAGAAAAUCAGCAGCAGAAUUGACUUUUAUUUGUAUCUAGCUAGCAAAACAAAUU